rnacentral:sRNA from 1 species
AGUUGCUGCACGAGGCCAAGAUGGCGCU